UACAGAGAGCAGAUCGGCUUGGAGGACUGACG
rnacentral:sRNA from 1 species